rnacentral:rRNA from 1 species
UACGUAGGGGGCUAGCGUUGUCCGGAUUUAUUGGGCGUAAAGAGCGUGUAGGCGGCCAGGUAGGUCUGCUGUGAAAACUCGAGGCUCAACCUCGAGACGUCGGUGGAAACCGCAUGGCUAGAGUCCGGAAGAGGAGAGUGGAAUUCCCGGUGUAGCGGUGAAAUGCGCAGAUAUCGGGAAGAACACCCGUGGCGAAGGCGGCUCUCUGGGACGGUACUGACGCUGAGACGCGAAAGCGUGGGGAGCGAACAGG